GGACCAUCAUGUCGGUCGUGCCUCGGUACGUACUGGUACUGUUGGUUUCUCCCUUCUGACGAACCAUGAUGUCAUUUAUUUGGUGUUGUGGGGAACCAGGACUUUUACUUUGAAAAAAUUAGAGUGUUUAAAGCAGGCUAACGCUUGAAUACAUUAGCAUGGAAUAAUGAAAUAGGACGUUCGACCCUAUUUUGUUGGUUUCUAGAGUCGCCGUA
rnacentral:rRNA from 1 species